rnacentral:sRNA from 1 species
AGUCAGGUCUGGGGUAUGGGAGAGAGAACAGAAUCCUGCCUCAGAUGCCAUACUCCCUGUCCUGCAUACUGAGCAAGACUGUCUAGUUCGCUUCAUUCUUCAGAUAGUUUGGACUCGUUGCUCACCUUCCUGGGGGAGCUUUUGGAGGUCACAGAAGAUUCUGGUGACUCUUGGAAAGGAUAUUUUUAUUAGAUUUGAUUAUAGCUGAGAGUUGUCCAGCUUCCAGAAGAGUAGGACCUAACUCAUUUUCCUUAAAUUUUUGCAGCUCAAGUGGCAGUCCUCCUUUCCAGCCCAUCAAAAGCCACGUAACCAUUCCAACAGCCCAUGUGAUGCCUUCUACUUUAGGGACCUCUCCUGCCAAGCCAAAUUCUACACCUGUUGGACCCUCUUCCUCUAAACUGCCUUUGUCAGGGUUGGCUGAAAGUGUGGGAAUGA